rnacentral:rRNA from 1 species
ACUCAAAGGAAUUGACGGGGGCCCGCACAAGCGGUGGAGCGCGUGGUUUAAUUCGACGCUAAGCGAAGAACCUUACCUGGGCUUGACAUGCUGGUAGUACCUUAGUGGAAACGCUGAGGGAUCUACCGUGAGGUAGAAGCCAGCACAGGUGCUGCACGGCUGUCGUCAGCUCGUGCCGUGAGGUGUUGGGUUAAGUCCCGCAACGAGCGCAACCCCUGUCCUUAGUUGCGGCAGCACCCAUGCGGUGGCUGAGCACUCUAAGGAGACUGCCGCCGAUGAGGCGGAGGAAGGUGGGGAUGACGUCAAGUCCGUGUGGCCUUUAUGUCCAGGGCUACACACGCGCUACAAUGGGUGGUACAACAGGCAUAGCGACCCUGUAAAGGGGAGCGAAUCCAUAAAACCAUCCUCAGUUCGGAUUGGGGUCUGCAACCCGACCCCAUGAAGACGGAAUCGCUAGUAAUCACCUAUCAGCAUGGGGUGGUGAAUACGUUCCCGGGCCUUGUACACACCGCCCGU